rnacentral:lncRNA from 1 species
AGUGGGCUUGGGCGUUGGGUGAAGUAUCCAGGUUGGGCGCUUCCAGCGCUUUCUGUGGCGGGGGAAUGAAGGCCUAGGUCAGGGAAUAGGAAGGUGUAUCGCCGCCAGAGUGCGGAACACCCUCGCCUUGAGGGUUCCCACAGUGACUUGCAAAAGUCUAGUGAGACCCGAGAAUGCUGAGGCGGGACACGAAGCAUGUGGUUCUUGUGGUUGCGACGCUCGUGCCGCCAUCUUGGGUGCUGGCGGCGGAAACCGGUACCCCAACUUCCCCUCGGUGCGAACCUGGAGAAGCCACCCCAGCUGUGAGGGACGGUUGCGCCUCAUGGCCCAGGCAAGGGUACCUUCGCUGGAGCAGUACCGCGGACGGAUAUCAUGAGGGUGGUGGGACGUUGGCGGAACGUUGGCGGAACGUUGGCGGUGUGAGAGGCUGGACUGGAACUCCUGGACUCAAGCGAUCUUUCCAUUUAUCAGGGACUACUGACGCGUGUCUCCCAAUAAAUACCUGAGUAUAAACAA